UAGGGAAUAUUGGUAAUGGGCGAAAGCCUGAACCAGCAACGCCGCGUGUGCGAAGAAGGCCUUCGGGUUGUAAAGCACUUUUUAAGGGGAUGAGGAAGGACAGUACCCUUAGAAUAAGCCUCGGCUAACUACGUGCCAGCAGCCGCGGUAACACGUAGGAGGCAAGCGUUAUUCGGAUUUACUGGGCGUAAAGCGCGUGCAGGCGGUUUGGUAAGUUGGAUGUGAAAGCUCCCGGCCUAACUGGGAGAGGUCGUUCAAUACUACCAGACUAGAGGAUGGGAGAGGGAGGUGGAAUUCCGGGUGUAGUGGUGAAAUGCGUAGAUAUCCGGAGGAACACCAGUGGCGAAAGCGGCCUCCUGGCCCAUUUCUGACGCUCAGACGCGAAAGCUAGGGUAGCAA
rnacentral:rRNA from 1 species